GACGAACGCUGGCGGCGUGCUUAACACAUGCAAGUCGAACGGAAAGGCCCCUUUGGGGGUACUCGAGUGGCGCACGGGUGAGUAACACGUGAGUAACCUGCCCUUGACUUCGGGAUAACUUCAGGAAACUGGGGCUAAUACCGGAUAGGAAUCCUUGCUGCAUGGUGGGGGUUGGAAAGCUUCGGCGGUUUUGGAUGGACUCGCGGCUUAUCAGCUUGUUGGUGGGGUAGUGGCUUACCAAGGCUUUGACGGGUAGCCGGCCUGAGAGGGCGACCGGCCACAUUGGGACUGAGAUACGGUCCAGACUCCUACGGGAGGCAGCAGGGGGGAAUAUUGCACAAUGGGCGGAAGCCUGAUGCAGCAACGCCGCGUGCGGGAUGACGGCCUUCGGGUUGUAAACCGCUUUCAGCAGGGGCGUAGCUUGUGGUGACGGUACCUGCAGAAGAAGCACCGGCUAACUACGUG
rnacentral:rRNA from 1 species